rnacentral:rRNA from 1 species
UACGUAGGGUGCUAGCGUUGCUCGGAAUUAUUGGGCGUAAAGCGCGUGUAGGUGGUUUUGCAAGUUGGAUGUGAAAGCCCUCGGCUCAACCGGGGAAGUGCAUUCAAAACUACAUGACUAGAGGACAGUAGAGGAAGGUGGAAUUCCUGGUGUAGAGGUGAAAUUCGUAGAUAUCAGGAGGAAUACCUGUGGCGAAGGCGGCCUUCUGGGCUGUUCCUGACACUGAGACGCGAAAGCGUGGGUAGCAAAC